rnacentral:rRNA from 1 species
UUUCCUAAGAGUGGCGGAGGGUGAUAUGUCUGGAACUGCCUGAUGGAGGGGGAUAACUACUGGAAACGGUAGCUAAUACCGCAUAACGUCGCAAGACCAAAGAGGGGGACCUUCGGGCCUCUUGCCAUCGGAUGUGCCCAGAUGGGAUUAGCUAGUAGGUGGGGUAACGGCUCACCUAGGCACGAUCCCUAGCUGGUCUGAGAGGAUGACCAGCCACACUGGAACUGAGACACGGUCCAGACUCCUACGGGAGGCAGCAGUGGGGAAUAUUGCACAAUGGGCGCAAGCCUGAUGCAGCCAUGCCGCGUGUAUGAAGAAGGCCUUCGGGUUGUAAAGUACUUUCAGCGGGGAGGAAGGGAGUAAAGUUAAUACCUUUGCUCAUUGACGUUACCCGCAGAAGAAGCACCGGCUAACUCCGUGCCAGCAGCCGCGGUAAUACGGAGGGUGCAAGCGUUAAUCGGAAUUACUGGGCGUAAAGCGCACGCAGGCGGUUUGUUAAGUCAGAUGUGAAAUCCCCGGGCUCAACCUGGGAACUGCAUCUGAUACUGGCAAGCUUGAGUCUCGUAGAGGGGGGUAGAAUUCCAGGUGUAGCGGUGAAAUGCGUAGAGAUCUGGAGGAAUACCGGUGGCGAAGGCGGCCCCCUGGACGAAGACUGACGCUCAGGUGCGAAAGCGUGGGGAGCAACAGGAUAGAUACCCUGUUAUCAAA